UACAGAGGUCCCAAGCGUUGUUCGGAUUCAUUGGGCGUAAAGGGUGCGUAGGCGGCGCGGUAAGUCGGGUGUGAAAUCUCGGAGCUUAACUCCGAAACUGCAUUCGAUACUGCCGUGCUUGAAGACUGGAGAGGAGACUGGAAUUUACGGCGUAGCGGUGAAAUGCGUAGAUAUCGUAAGGAAGACCAGUGGCGAAGGCGGGUCUCUGGACAGUUCCUGACGCUGAGGCACGAAGGCCAGGGGAGCAAACGGG
rnacentral:rRNA from 1 species